CCCCUCUCAGGAGUGCAUCUGGAGAGUUUCCAGUACUCUACCAGUCUCGGCUAUGGGAGGGAGAGUCAGGCAGAGGCAUACCCAUACCAUUCCUAGCUUGGGCAAUGGCUAGUGAGUGGAAGGAAAUCUGUUACAAGU